GAUGAACGCUGGCGGCGUGCCUAACACAUGCAAGUCGAACGGACAGACAAUGAGCUUGUGCCUUUAACGUUAGCGGCUGGCGGGCGGGUAACGCGUGGAUCACCUUCUUAUAUUUCGGGGAUGAUUACGUAAAACAGGAUCUAAUACCAGAGCAUAUGUUGUACCGGAGAGAGCAAUGGUUAUUCGCGCCUUUCGUGUCUGUAAGAGCUGGUUCCGCGCCGGAUUAGCUAGUUGGUAAGGUAACGGCUUACCAAGGCGACGAUGCGUAGCCGACCUGAGAGGGUGAUCGGCCACACUGGAACUGAGACACGGUCCAGACUCCUACGGGAGGCAGCAGUAGGGAAUAUUCCGCAAUGGGCGCAAGCCUGACGGAGCCAUACCGCGUGAGUGAUGAAGGCCUUCGGAUCGUAAAGCCCUGUUAUUAGGGAAGAAAAGAUGUGUAAUUAAACAUGGCGGUUUUGACGGUACCUAAUCAGAAAGCACCGGCUAACUACGUG
rnacentral:rRNA from 1 species